UACGGGGGGAGCAAGCGUUGUUCGGAUUUACUGGGCGUAAAGGGCGCGUAGGCGGCGCGACAAGUCACUUGUGAAAUCUCCGGGCUCAACUCGGAACGGCCAAGUGAUACUGUCGUGCUAGAGUGCGGAAGGGGCAACUGGAAUUCUCGGUGUAGCGGUGAAAUGCGUAGAUAUCGAGAGGAACACCUGCGGCGAAGGCGGGUUGCUGGGCCGACACUGACGCUGAGGCGCGAAAGCUAGGGGAGCAAACAGG
rnacentral:rRNA from 1 species